AUUGAACGCUGGCGGCGUGCUUAACACAUGCAAGUCGUGCGGUAACAGGCGUAGCAAUACGUGCUGACGAGCGGCGAACGGGUGCGUAAUACAUGGGAAUCUGCCCUUUAGUGGGGAAUAACCCGGCGAAAGCCGGGCUAAUGCCGCAUAAGAUCUUCGGAUGAAAGCGGGGGAUCGUAAGACCUCGCGCUGAUGGAUGAGCCCAUGUCGGAUUAGCUAGUGGUGAGGUAACGGCUCACCAAGGCGACGAUCCGUAGCUGGUCUGAGAGGACGGCCAGCCACACUGGGACUGAGACACGGCCCAGACUCCUACGGGAGGCAGCAGUGGGGAAUAUUGGACAAUGGGGGAAACCCUGAUCCAGCGACGCCGCGUGUGUGAAGAAGGCCUGCGGGUUGUAAAGCACUUUCGGUGGG
rnacentral:rRNA from 1 species